rnacentral:rRNA from 1 species
CCCCUAGACGUUCUGGGCUGCACGCGCGCUACAAUAAUACGCACAGCGAGUAUCACCGAGCUCGAAAGGGCAAGGUAAACAAUAGAAAAGGUACUGUAAUGGUUAUAGAUCCUUGUAAUUAUUGAUCUUCAACGAGGAAUUCCUAGUAAGUAUGUGUCAUCAUCACGCACUGAUUACGUCCCUGCCCUUUGUACACACCGUCCGUCGCUCCUACCGAUUGGGUGAGCCGAUGAAACUCUCGGAUGUAGGCUAUUCAUAGCCCGCAGAAGAGAUUUGAAUCGUAGCGCUUAGAGGAAGGAGAAGUCGUAACA